CUUAAGGUUAAGUGAAGUCACUUCUUUGAGGGAACCUUAAGGUUCCCUCAGCCCCUUUCUUCCAUAAGAUCUACUCUGAACACCCUGGGCUGCUGACUGCUCACCCUCCCCCCAGGUCAACUCUUUCCCUGCACAUAGAAGAGCUACAGUUUAUCCUCCACUCCUCAUUCUAUGGUCAAAAACCAUGGAAGAAGAAGAGCAUUUCAACCUGAGACUCAGUUACCAGAACUGCACCUGCCCCACCUCCGCGCAACCACAUAUGCCUCCUGUCUGUGCUGAGCCAGAGGGUUCACAUAUGGCACAAACUGAGGUCAGACUCCGUGAUCCCCACCAUCGCAGGUGACAGCUCUGUGGCCUAUGAGCUGACACAGCCACCCUCGGUGUCACGGCUCCUGGAAUGAUGGCCAGGGUCACCUGCUCUGGAGAUGUGCCAACAAAAAAAUAGGUUUACUGGUACCAGCAGAAGCCAGACCAAGCCUGUGCUGAUCAUCUAAGAGGAUAGCAAGUGAUCUUCAAGGAUCUCUGAGAGAUUAUCUGGCUCCAGCUCAUGGACUAGAGUCACCUUUAUCAUCAGUGGAGGCCAAGCUGAGGAUGAGACUGGCUUUUACUGUCAAUCAUGGGACAGCCGUGGUACUUAUCCCAAAGUGACACAGACAGAUGGGGGAAGUGAAACACAAACCCCUUCCCCAUCUGUGUCACCCUCUUCCUCCUUCCCCAGGAGAACUGUGCACAAAGCCUUGAGCAGGGUCUGGCCUACCGUUAACCCAUAUCUGAGUACCCCAGGCUGCCCUUCCCUCCAGUCCUCCAUGCAGGAUCUGCAUUAGGUGGGUGAGGAGAGGAUUCAGGGCUGGCAGGACCAGGCUGUCCUGUGUUUGCUUGCCCAGAGUGUGAGUUGUGGAUGGAGGAUCUGAGUGGAAGACUGGAAAGAGGGCGACAUUCAUGCAGCCAUUAAAAACCUAAGGGGGCAAGGGGGACCCUCAACUGAAAUAAUAAUUUCAGUCAUUAUUAUUGUAUCUCUGGAAAAGCAAUUCUCUUCUGCACCUAAGACCUCUAGUCCAGCAAAGCAGAAGAACACUGAGAGAGAAUGUAUCAUUUUUGCUCAUGGAUCCCUAGGCAUAAUAGUGAGUGAAGCCAGUCCCACCUUCAAGCCUUGAUUCAGGUCUCACGAAUCCUGGCUGCUGUGGGAGAAGCAGCGCCACACAUUGGGCCCUGAUUUACAGCAUAUGCCCCAUCCUGAAAGAUGUGAGCUCAUCCCUACAAGUCGGCCACCUCACUGGCACAAUAAAUUAAACAACUAUUAAACGUUUUCCUAGCAUGAAUCCAUAUGCUGAAUAUGUUAUUGCAAUUAACAGUACUACUUAAAUUGGUUGUGCAAACUGCAAAGACUUCAAAUGUUUUUGUUGAUAAACUUAGAAAUGCUUUUAAUUUAUUCAGUGUCUUUGAAUUCAAUGUUUAUAAUUAAUGAGCUGACACAAGACUUAGUCAACUUAGGAAGUCAUAGCACUUUUGGAAAUGGAAAUCUACUUAUUUAGUCAAAUCAGGUCUUGUAGAAUAGAUGAACUAGUCUUGUCAAAGUGCAUGCAGAAGUUAAAUGAAAAUGAUAGUGCAUGAUUAUCUCAUUGGAAAAAGUUAAUGCGAGCUUGGAAACACUUAAGUAUCUGAAUAUACCUUAUCAAUGUAAAUAUUAUGUAAUCUAAAUGCAGAUGAAGUAUUUAUGAUGAAAAUAUAGUGUCCAAAUUGAGAUAUGCUAUAAGUAUCUUAUACAAUUAGGAUUUAAAAGAUUUGGUAUGAAAUAAAAAAAACACUACAAUA